GCAGCGGAUCAGGCGAUCGCCGGCGACCCGGAGCGAUCCGGGCCGCGGGAGGAAAGUCCGAGCUCCACAGGGCAGGGUGCCGGGUAACUCCCGGUGGGGGUGACCCCGAGGAAAGUGCAACAGAGAGCAGACCGCCGCGCCGCACCCUCAUGACGAGGCCUCACGGCCUUCGAUAAGGGCGCCGCGCGGUAAGGGUGAAACGGUGGGGUAAGAGCCCACCGCGCCCUCGGCAACGAGGGCGGCACGGUAAACCCCACCCGGAGCAAGGCCGCAUAGGAAGGCGAUGCGGCGGUGGUGACCGAAAGGAAGCCGCCGCUGCGAAAGGGCUGCCCGCUCGAGCCUUCGGGUUGGCCGCUUGAGGCACGCGGCGACGCGCGCCCUAGAGGAAUGACCGCCGGCGCGUUUUGGGUAACCGGACGCGCAACAGAACUCGGCUUACGAUCCCUGCGACC
rnacentral:RNase_P_RNA from 1 species